rnacentral:rRNA from 1 species
GACGGAGGAUGCAAGUGUUAUCCGGAAUCACUGGGCGUAAAGCGUCUGUAGGUGGUUUAAAAAGUCUACUGUUAAAGCUUGAAGCUUAACUUCAAAAAUGCCGUAGAAACUUUUAAACUUGAGUAUGGUAGGGGUAGAGGGAAUUUCCAGUGGAGCGGUGAAAUGCGUAGAUCUUGGAAAAGACCACCAAUGGCGAAGGCACUCUACUGGGCCAUAACUGACACUAAGAGACGAAAGCUAGGGGAGCAAAUGGG